rnacentral:rRNA from 1 species
GACGAACGCUGGCGGCGUGCUUAACACAUGCAAGUCGAACGGAAAGGCCCUGCUUUUGUAGGGUGCUCGAGUGGCGAACGGGUGAGUAACACGUGAGUAACCUGCCCUUGACUUUGGGAUAACUUCAGGAAACUGGGGCUAAUACCGGAUCGGAGCUCCUGCUGCAUGGUGGGGGUUGGAAAGUUUCGGCGGUUGGGGAUGGACUCGCGGCUUAUCAGCUUGUUGGUGGGGUAGUGGCUUACCAAGGCUUUGACGGGUAGCCGGCCUGAGAGGGUGACCGGCCACAUUGGGACUGCGAUACGGCCCAGAGUCCUACGGGAGGCAGCAGUGGGGAAUAUUGCACAAUGGGCGGAAGCCUGAUGCAGCAACGCCGCGUGCGGGAUGACGGCCUUCGGGUUGUAAACCGCUUUCGCCUGUGACGAAGCGUGAGUGACGGUAAUGGGUAAAGAAGCACCGGCUAACUACGUG